AAAAACAAACGACAAACCCAGGGAGAAAGGACGCGCGAGACGGAGUCGCCGGAGGGCCCCGCGCGCAGGCGGGGCGGAUGCCGUCCCGUCCCGCCCCGUUCGGCCGGGCCGCACUCGGCACUCGCACCGGAUGGAUGCGGUCGCCGUCGCGUGGCGUGGACCCCGUCGUCGAAGAUGCGAGCGGAGGCGGCGGCGGCCGCCUGGCCUGGCCUGUGGCAUGUGGCCUGGCUUGCCUAGCGAAGUAGUCGCCGCGCGUCGCGUGGAGUGGAUGGAGGGAGGCUCUGGAUGGAGUUGGAGCCCCGGCCUUCCGGUCGGCAGGUGGGACUUGGCCGCUCGUCCCAGCGCCUCGCCCCGGCAGCCUGCAAUGCAAGUGGCCGGCCAGCGACUUGUCGGUCCUGGAGCUUGACCGGCUCGCUCCCGGUCCCAGUCCCAGGCCCGUGCACGGAGGAUGUGUGUGACUUGUCUGCUCGCAGUCACGUGCGCAAACUGUGCGUGCGGCACGGAUUCGAAGCUUUGGUGGUACAGUACAGUAGCUGUGGUGGGGACUGCGUGGCAAAAGUCAAGUCUUGUCUUGGCCAAGGUUCUGGCUUUUUUUGUUUUUUUUUCUACGCGCUAGCUGUUGCAUCUUGCUGCAGAGUAAAUCUGUACACCCAUUUUUUGAUAUAAACGGUCGAUAUAUGUGGGCUUGAGAAAAUGGUGUAUUCUUCGUUGUACAACCCACAUGAUGUAUUACAGUUUUUUUUUAAAAAAAAU